CUAAAUGAUACAUGCAAGCUAAUUAGCAACACAGUGAGUAAACUUCCCCUUGUCCUAUAAAGAAACAAAUUUUACCUCCCACGGUAUCAGACAUUAACCAUUAAUUCUAUGACACCUAGCACUCCACAUCUGCAGUACCUAAUAUUAUACAAUAAGUCAAAGCUUGAUAUAGUUAUAGAUUUUAGAGUCGGUAAAUUAUGUGCCAGCCACCGCGGUUAUACAUAAAACUCAAAUCAAGAAAACUUCGGUUCAAAGGUGGCUAGAGCAAACUUUAUUAAGGCAGACAUUAACUUUAGCACUAACAAGCUUCCACAGUAUUCUAAUUUCAACAUUAACAUCACCUUAUACCUUCACUCAAACCACUAAAGCUCAAAAAUAAACUGGGAUUAGAUACCCCACUAUAUGAGCAGUAAAAACCAACAACACCAGAGAACUACGAAUUAAAAUUUAAAACUCAAAAGACUUGGCGGUCUUUUAGAUCUUCCUGGAGGAGCUUGCUAUCUAACCGAUAACCCACGAAAAACCWUACCCAGC
rnacentral:rRNA from 1 species